rnacentral:rRNA from 1 species
CCAAUAGCGUAUAUUAAAGUUGUUGCAGUUAAAAAGCUCGUAGUUGAAUUUCGGGGUUAGUAGGUUGGUCAUGCCUCUGGUAUGUACUGGUCUCACUGAUUCCUCCUUCCUGACGAACCGUAAUGCCAUUAAUUUGGUGUUGCGGGAAAUUUGGACUGUUACUUUGAAAAAAUUAGAGUGUUUAAAGCAAGCUAACGCUUGAAUACAUUAGCAUGGAAUAAUGAAAUAGGACGUUCGAUCCUAUUUUGUUGGUUUCUAGGAUUGACGUAAUGAUUAAUAGGGAUAGUUGGGGGCAUUAGUAUUCAAUUGUCAGAGGUGAAAUUCUUGGAUUUAUUGAAGACUAACUACUGCGAAAGCAUUUGCCAAGGAUGUUUUCAUUAAUCAAGAACGAAAGUUAGGGGAUCGAAGACGACCAGAUACCGUCGUAGUCUUAACCAUAAACUAUGCCGACUAGGGAUCGGAUGAUGUUAAUUUUUUAAAUGACUCAUUCGGCGCCUUACG